GCUUUUAAAGGAAAAAAGCCUUCGCACUGGCCUUAGGAGCCAGCACCUCUUGGUGCAAAUCCAAGUAAAAUGCU
rnacentral:tRNA from 1 species